GACAUCAUCAGAGGGAGACUACACAGGUAAGGCACACAGAGCUCGACACAAAGGUGUUAGCUCAUGACGUCACUAGAGGGCGGGAGGCUUCAGUCAGUGCUUCGGUCAGUAGUAAACCUCGGCAAGGCGCAUGUGUCGUACUGCAGGGCGAAGAGAAAGGUUGGACAGCAGCGUGUAACGAUGGAUGGCUGUAAUGUCUGUGUAUUGUGCAGAGCGCAACAGAAACUUGGUGUCUGCAGUGGGAUCAGCGGUGCUCCUGAGAGGCAGCGUGAGACUGAAGGCUCGCCACACAAACAGUGGAUGUGGAGUUUCACAAGCUGAUUAUCCUGAAAGUCACAAUGGGUUGGAACAAACAUGGUGGAACAUGUCCAGCAAGCUGAGGUGGUGAGGCCGUACCCCUGCAUCCUGACACUGGAACAUGACAAGCAGCGCUCCUCUCCGACAGCUCAGGUUUAGGAGCAAAGCUCACUGCUUGGGGCAGCUGAUGUGCAGUGAAGGUCUGAACAGCUGCUUCAAGGCAACUACACUAAGCAGUGUGCUCCUGCACGGGGCUUUAUCCAGACAGUGCACUAUGAAAUGGCAGGGAGUGAGUUCAGACCUGAGGCAAUUCUACAUACAGCAGAGAACUUUAAUGUUUUAGUUUAUUUAAUGAUGCAUUCUAAUGACUUUCAGUUUCACAAUACUUUGUCAUUUUGCCAAAAAAAAUAAAAUAAAUAAAUAAAUAAAUAAAAAUUAAAGGCAGAAUGAGUAGGAUUUUCCUGAAAAACAAUGCAUAGAUUCAUACAAAAACAUUCCCUCUCAAUCAUCGUUUAUUACUCACUAGAAUCAAAUCAAAUCAAAUCACACUUUAAUUGUACAGGACCUUUCGUGCAAAAUUGAAAUACAAGGUGCUUCACAAUUCAGUGACUACAUAAUAAUAUGGUGAAGAUCCAACCUUGCAUAAGGAAUGAUAAAAUAAGAAACAUGAUAGAAUACAGACCAGUGAAACACAGUAGAAGAGGGAUUAAAGUGGAUUAAAACACAAAUAAAAACAAAAUUGAAGAAAAAAAAAUAAUGAUAACAAAAUAAACUAGACUUUGCUAAAGUUUCUGAAGAAACUUAAAAUGUACUUGCCACCGUUGCAAACCAUGUGGCCAUGUGGUAAACUGCCAGCCCUAUGCUGUUUGUAGGUUGUGUUUGUUUUUUAGUCAUUUUGCUAAACUGUUGCUGUUGUUAGGGGACUGGCAGGCAUUUACUGUGGUCCGGGUCAUUUCCAGGAAGUUAUCGUUACCCUAAUUUUAAAACGAUCACAUAUGAGUGAAAAAGUGCAGCGUGUUCAUUUCAUGAUCGUAAGGAGAAAUUUAAGUUGAAAGAUGCAUAAUUUCUAAAAAUAAAAACUAAAAAACUGCAUAAUAUAGAACUUCAACAAUCCAAUAUUCAAAAUGCAGUAGAGAGAGUAUUUACACUAAAUAAAAAGAAACAUUUGAUAAGCACAUUGUAUGGAAUUUUACUUGAUUCAUUAGUGAAAGAUGAACCUUUUUAAAAAUAUGUACAGUACAUGGAAUAAAGAUCCAUGUACUGUAAAUGGGAGCAAGUUUGAUAACAGCACCUCAGACAGAUGAAGCAUCUCAGUCGGGGACACUCACUUAUAAAUACGCUUUACUUCCGUGAGAGAGUAACAGGGAUUUGUGAAGAAACUGAGAGUUGGGUGUCAAGGACACAUAGCUGGAAAUCUCAGUAUGGAUGUACGUUAGGGAAAAUCGGGAAGAAAAUGGCUGGCAUCCAUAGUAGUUGAAAAACUCCCUUUUGAAUUAACAAAGUUGUUUUUUUUUCUUAUGUUGUAUUUAUAAAGCUUCCAUUGGGUAUUCACGUAUUUGGAGGCAUGCGUGCAUACAUGUGCAUAUGUAAAUACACAAGUUUAUUUGGCUAAGCUUCCCCACUCAUUUAUGGGUGUUAAAACUGUGCAUAUGUUGUAUAAAAAAAAUAAAGAAUAAAAAAAAGACUGAAAUAUCCUCAAAUAAGACACUCUUUGUGUUCCAUUUCAGAUAAGUUUGACCACUACAGGACUGUAGUUCCAGAUGGUAACGUGAUAGGAGUGGGUAAAGUGAGCCCCAAAUGUGAUAAACUAAAAUAAACCUGAUAUUUAAAGACCACUUUAUCAUG